GAUGAAGAACGUAGUGAAAUGCGAUAAGUAAUGCGAAUUGCAGAAUUCAGUGAAUCAUCGAAUCUUUGAACGCACAUUGCGCCCCCUGGUAUUCCGGGGGGCAUGCCUGUUCGAGCGUCAUUUCACCACUCAAGCCUCGCUUGGUAUUGGGCAUCGCGGUCCGCCGCGCGCCUCAAAUCGACCGGCUGGGUCUUCUGUCCCCUAAGCGUUGUGGAAACUAUUCGCUAAAGGGUGUUCGGGAGGCUACGCCGUAAAACAACCCCAUUUCUAAGGUUGACCUCGGAUCAGGUAGGGAUACCCGCUGAACUUAAGCAUAUCAAUAAGCGGAGGA
rnacentral:misc_RNA from 1 species